UACGUAGGGUGCAGGCGUUAAUCGGAAUUACUGGGCGUAAAGCGUGCGCAGGCGGUCUUUUAAGUCAGAUGUGAAAUCCCCGGGCUUAACCUGGGAACUGCGUUUGAAACUGGAAGGCUUGAGUGUGGCAGAGGGGGGUGGAAUUCCACGUGUAGCAGUGAAAUGCGUAGAGAUGCGGAGGAACACCGAUGGCGAAGGCAGCCCCCUGGGCUAACACUGACGCUCAUGCGCGAAAGCGUGGGGAGCAAACAGG
rnacentral:rRNA from 1 species